GCUGGGUGUGGUGGCUCACGCCUGUAAUCCCAGCGCUUUGGGAGGCCGAGGCAGGUGGAUCACCUGAGGUCAGGAGUUCAAGACCAGCCUGGCCAACAUGGUGAAACCUGUCUCUA
ensembl:misc_RNA Metazoa_SRP Metazoan signal recognition particle RNA